GGAAAGGUUGUAGCGCAGUGGUUAGAACAUCUGUUUUGCAAGCAGAAGGUCGCAGGUUCGAUCCCCGGAUUCUCCA